CCCCUCUCAGGGUCAAACCUGGAGAGUCUCCAGUAGUCUGCCAGUCUCAGCAGUGGGAGGGAGAGUCGAGCAGAGGCAUAUCCAUUCCAUUCCUAGCUUGGGCAGUGGCUAGCGAGUGGAAGGCCAACUGCUACAAAU
rnacentral:snoRNA from 1 species